UCAUAUUAAAUGUCAGCCUGUACUGAUAUUUGGUUAUGGAUUAGGGAUACAGGUACUAAAUCUUUCAAGGCAUAACUUUUGUACUCUUACUGUUGUAUUAGGCGAAAUACGGGGAUGUUAUCGGGCUGUGACGUGACAGGCCCUUCCCCAUAUUCUGGAAGAAUCUUGCUACGUGUAAUACAGUAGGCGUAGACGAAGUGGACAAAGGUUAUAUAAGGUCGUGUGUGCUUCAAUAAAUCGCCAUUUUACCACGCUACCACCUUGGUGUCACUUGGUAAUUGGUCUAACUACUGCUUCAGUUGGAGGCGAGAGAUCGUAAAGCCAUUAACGAUCAUAAAGCCUUCAAAUGGUGACCGCCGACGUGAUUCGUCACGAUUAGGCGUGAUUAGGGACUUUUGGAGCAAGGUGGGAGAGCGAGCUCGGAAUCCCGGAAUCUCGGAAUCUCGGGGACCCCCAGGAACCUUCGGGAAGCGCCAGGGAGCGGCCAGGAGAACUACGUUCGGCCGGGGCGACAUGGAAGCCGUUAUCAGGUAAUUCUUCACGCUGCAAACUUCACUGUGGGAAACAGGCUCCUUCCAAAAAGGAGGUAACAGCAGUUCUUUCGCUGCUGGAAAAGGAAGGGCUUUUAACAAACCCGUCUGAUUUAUACAAUCCUGGCAGAUGGGAUGGAAUUACGGCCGCACUAUCUCAAAGGUCGCUGGCCACUCGAAAAGUAUCAGAAUUCAAAGUAUGGGGACUUAUCUUGGAGGCGCUGAAAGCAGCACGGGAGGAGAAGCUAGCAAACCAACGUGCUAGAGACAUUCUGGGUUUGGAGACGGGGGGAGGCCGGGGGGGGAGUCUUGGAGUGGUUGCAAGAUCACACCAAGAAGAUUGGCAUCCAGGAUGAUCCUUUUGGGAACUGGUUGGAGAGUUGGUUUGGUGGUAUUGCACCAUGGUUCAAGCAAUUGCUUAAGGUAGUACUGAUAGGGCUUCUCAUAUUCCUCGCAUUUAUGGCUUGUGUGCCGUGUGUGUUUCAAUGCUUGCUAGGCUGCCUGCAACGCAUGGCUGAAAGAAUGGUUAAUACGCAAAUAGAGUAUCAUAAGAUGCAAGAUAGGCUUUAAGGUGAGAUUUAGGUGUUAAGAUUUAAAGAGAAGUUUACACAAUAUAAAUCUAUAAGCUUAUAGACCUAUAAAUGUGUGACCUUGUAUAUAUGUGUGAAAUCUGCAAACUCUAUAGAAGCAGGAGGUGAAGAGGCUGAAGAAGAGGAGGAAGGUGCUAAGGAAGAAUCAGAAGAAGGCAAAGAAGGUGAAGAGGAAGAUGGAGAGAUAUUGUUGCGUAUUGUAACGGGUUAAGCCUUUUAAGCAUGGGGAGGGGGAAAUGUUGUAUUCAUCUUACCACUUCCAUGCCACAGAAAAAAAAGAUCAAACAAGAAGACUUUGGGGCAUUCCUAAGCUUUCUAUUUAUAACUGCAGUACAUUCAGAUACAUGAACAUCUCAGACUUCUGCCUUAAUAAAUUAAGGAGAGAAUAUAUUUAUCA
rnacentral:lncRNA from 1 species